GGAAGGAUCAUUAACACGAAUAUCCAUUAUUCAAACCAACCGUGAACCAAUCCCCACCCGAGCAGAUAAAGGAAUGGGUUAAACCAUGAAAAUGACUCGGCUACCAAUUCUUUCUUCUUUCUUUAUUGAAAGUGGAUUGAAUCUUUGUAUUAACAAACCCCAAUCAUCUUAAUUGAAACUUAUUGCUUUGUAUUUCUUUCGAAAGAAUGAAAUCAAAUCAAUUAAUCAACACACUAAAAAAACCAUCAUAUAUCUUAAUUGAUUGUAUGUUGUUGUUUUUUUAUUUCUAUUACGAAAUGAACGUAUUAGUUUAUAAAACAACUCUUAACAAUGGAUAUCUUGGUUCUCGCAACGAUGAAGAACGCAGCGAAAUGCGAUAUGUAAUGCGAAUUGCAGAAUUCAGUGAAUCAUCAAAUCUUUGAACGCAAAUUGCGCUCUCGGGAUAUACCUGUGAGCACGCUCCUUUGAGUAUCGGUUCGAAUAUAACUCAACUGUUUCUUAGUAAAAUAAGAGACAACGUUGGAUAAUGAGUGUUGUUCUCGAGAUGAAUUGAUUUCAUAUCAAUUGAUCAAGAGUCACUUGAAAUAUGUAGAGUUAAGUGAUGUCUAUCACACAUACCGUUGAGAGCUACUAUGAAAACAGUUGCUUUGCACUAUGAAACAUUGAGUGACGUAGAUAAUCUCAUCUUUACGAUGUUUAUUUUGCGUCAUUAAGCUUGAUGUUGAAUUGUAUAAAGUCCAACUUUGUAGUUUUCCUUUGUGUUUGGGAAUGUGAAGCUUAACGUGUAUAGGAUUGUUAUGUAAAAAGUAAGAAUCCAUCUCAAUGAAAUAAUUGACUAAUUAUUUGAUUGAAUUAUAGAUCUCAAAUGGAGCGAGAAUACCCCCUGAAUUUAAGCAUAUUAAUAAGGGGAGGAAAAGAAACUAACAAGGAUUCCCUUAGUAACGGCGAGUGAAGCGGGAAGAGCUCAAAAUGAAAAUCGUGAACCCAAGCGGGUUCUUGAAUUGUUUUCUAGAGACGUGUUGUCAGCGGUGACCUAGAUUGAAGUCUCUUGAAACAGGGCAUCAUAGAGGGUGAGAAUCCCGUAUGAAAUCUGGAGUUCGCCGCGUACGACGCAUGAUCAUCGAGUCGAGUUGUUUGGGAUUGCAGCUCUAAUUGGGUGGUAAGUUUCAUCUAAAGCUAAAUAUUGGCGAGAGACCGAUAGCGAACAAGUACCGUGAGGGAAAGAUGAAAAGAACUUUGAAAAGAGAGUUAAAAAGUACUUGAAAUUGUUAAGAGGGAAGCGCUGAAAUUCAGUCAUUUGCUUUAGGUUAUUUUGCUAUUUGCUUACGAAGGAUAAGAUGAUGAUGUGUGUAAGCCAUCAUUGUUUUAUUGGACGAUAGGUGGGUAGUUUCUGUAAUUUGGAGUGAGUCAAAAUCUUUUCGAUACGUGUGAGAAAGUUAUGAGGAAGGUAGGUUAGGUAGCAAUAUCGAACUGUUAUAGCCUUGUAGCCCUAACGUGUAUUGGAUUGAGGAAAGUGAUAUAACGCGCCGCAGGCUUGGUAGCUCAUUUCUGCUGAUUAAUAGUGGUCAAGAUAACAAUGUUAUGUAGCUAUUAUUAGUUAGUACUAGGUGGGACUAUUUUAUGCGUUAUCGCGAUUUUGACGAAAUGGAUUUCAUCGACCCGUCUUGAAACACGGACCAAGGAGUCUAACAUAUAUGCGAGUAUUUGGGUGGAAAACUCAUGUGCGUAAUGAAAGUAAAGGCUGGCUUGCUAGCUGUGGUAGGAAUCGUCGCAAGGCGAGGCACUAUCGACCGAUCAUCACUUGUGAAAGAUUUGAGUAAGAGCAUAUCUGUUGGGACCCGAAAGAUGGUGAUCUAUGCCUGAACAGGGUGAAGCCAGGGGAAACUCUGGUGGAGGCUCGUAGCGAUACUGACGUGCAAAUCGUUCGUCUGAUUUGGGUAUAGGGGCGAAAGACUAAUCGAACCAUCUAGUAGCUGGUUCCCUC
rnacentral:misc_RNA from 1 species